rnacentral:rRNA from 1 species
CCUACGGGAGGCAGCAGUAGGGAAUAUUGCUCAAUGGGGGAAACCCUGAAGCAGCAACGCCGCGUGGAGGAUGAAGGUUUUCGGAUUGUAAACUCCUUUUGUUAGAGAAGAUAAUGACGGUAUCUAACGAAUAAGCACCGGCUAACUCCGUGCCAGCAGCCGAGGUAAUACGGAGGGUGCAAACGUUACUCGGAAUCACUGGGCGUAAAGGGCGCGUAGGCGGGAUAGCAAGUCAGAUGUGAAAUCCUAUGGCUUAACCCUAGAACUGCAUUUGAAACUGUUAUUCUAGAGUAUGGGAGAGGUAGGUGGAAUUCGUGGUGUAGGGGUAAAAUCCGUAGAGAUCAAGAGGAAUACUCAUUGCGAAGGCGACCUGCUAGAACAUAACUGACGCUGAUGCGCGAAAGCGUGGGGAGCAAACAGGAUUAGAUACCCUUGUAGUC